CCUACGGGAGGCAGCAGUGGGGAAUUUUGGACAAUGGGCGCAAGCCUGAUCCAGCAAUGCCGCGUGAGUGAAGAAGGCCUUCGGGUUGUAAAGCUCUUUUGUCAGGGAAGAAACGGUGAGCUCUAACAUAGCUUGCUAAUGACGGUACCUGAAGAAUAAGCACCGGCUAACUACGUGCCAGCAGCCGCGGUAAUACGUAGGGUGCAAGCGUUAAUCGGAAUUACUGGGCGUAAAGCGUGCGCAGGCGGUUUUGUAAGUUUGUCGUGAAAUCCCCGGGCUCAACCUGGGAAUGGCGAUGAAGACUGCAAGGCUAGAGUUUGGCAGAGGGGGGUAGAAUUCCACGUGUAGCAGUGAAAUGCGUAGAUAUGUGGAGGAACACCGAUGGCGAAGGCAGCCCCCUGGGUCAAAACUGACGCUCAUGCACGAAAGCGUGGGGAGCAAACAGGAUUAGAUACCCUGGUAGUCCACGCCCUAAACGAUGUCUACUAGUUGUCGGGUCUUAAUUGACUUGGUAACGCAGCUAACGCGUGAAGUAGACCGCCUGGGGGAGGUACGGUCGGUCGAGAAGUUAAACGUAACGUUAAAGGAAAGUUAGACGGCGUUGAGACGAGCGACGGACGACGACGAGGGAGGAGG
rnacentral:rRNA from 1 species